CGGACGGGUGAGUAACGCGUGGAAAACCUGCCGUAUACUGGGGGAUAACACUUAGAAAUAGGUGCUAAUACCGCAUAAGCGCACAGCUUCGCAUGAAGUGGUGUGAAAAACUCCGGUGGUAUACGAUGGUUCCGCGUCUGAUUAGCUUGUUGGUGGGGUAAUGGCUCACCAAGGCGACGAUCAGUAGCCGGCCUGAGAGGGUGAACGGCCACAUUGGGACUGAGACACGGCCCAAACUCCUACGGGAGGCAGCAG
rnacentral:rRNA from 1 species